CGUGGAUUAGGCAUGCAAGUCGAGCGACGGGCCCGCCUUCGGGCGGGAGACCGAGCGGCAAAAGGGUGAGUAAUGCGUAGGUAACUUACCCUCGAGAGGGGGAUAACGGUGGGAAACCGCCGCUAAUACCCCAUACGUUCACGGUGUCUCCGGGUACUGUGAAGAAAGGAGGGCAACUUCCGCUCGAGGAUGGGCCUACGUCCUAUUAGCUUGUUGGUGAGGUAAAGGCUCACCAAGGCAACGAUGGGUAGCCGACCUGAGAGGGUGACCGGCCACACUGGGACUGAGACACUGCCCAGACUCCUACGGGAGGCUGCAGUCGAGAAUCAUCCGCAAUGGGCGAAAGCCUGACGGUGCGACGCCGCGUGAGGGAUGAAGGCCUUCGGGUUGUAAACCUCUGUCACGGGUUAAGAAACGUACGAAGUUAACGCUUCGUGCUUGACGAAACCGAAAGGAAGUCACGGCUAACUCCGUGCCAGCAGCCGCGGUAAUACGGAGGUGGCUAGCGUUGUUCGGUAUCACUGGGCUUAAAGGGGGCGCAGGCGGUUCAGUUAGUCGGUAUGGGAAAGCCCUCCGCACAACGGAGGGAUUGCGUCCGAUACUGCUGGACUAGAGGCUCGUAGGGGAGAGUAGAAUUCCUGGUGUAGCGGUGAAAUGCGUAGAUAUCAGGAAGAAUGCCGGUGGCGAAGGCGACUCUCUGGGCGAGCCCUGACGCUGAGGCCCGAAAGCCAGGGGAGCGAACAGGAUUAGAUACCCUGGUAGUCCUGGCUGUAAACGAUGGGCACUACGUAGAGGGGGGGAAUACCUUCUCUGCUCAAGCAAAAGUAUUAAGUGCCCCGCCUGGGGGGUAUGGUCGCAAGGCUGAAACUCAAAGUAAUUGACGGGGGCUCACACAAGCGGUGGAGGAUGUCCUUUAAUUCGAACCAACGCGAAGAACCUUACCGGGGCUUGAACCGCUGGGUAAACCCUGUGAAAGCAGGGCUGGCUAUGCCAACCCAGUAGAGGUGUUGCAUGGCUGUCGUCAGCUCGUGUCGUGAGAUGUCGGGUUAAGUCCCAUAACGAGCGAAACCCUUGUCCUUAGUUACCAUCACUUCGGGUGGGGACUCUAAGGAGACUGCCGGUGUCAAACCGGAGGAAGGUGGGGAUGACGUCAAGUCAUCAUGGCCCUUAUGUCCCGGGCUAGAAACGUCCUACAAUGGGCGGUACAAAGGGAACCGAAGCCGUGAGGCGGGGGAAAUCCCCUAAAGCCGUCCUCAGUUCGGAUCGCAGGCUGAAAUUCGCCUGCGUGAAGCUGGAAUCGCUAGUAAUCGCGGAUCAGCACGCCGCGGUGAAUAUGUUCCUGAGCCUUGUACACACCGCCCGUCAAGCCACGAGAAUCGGGGGUACCCGAAGUCGCUGACCCAACCGCAAGGAGGGAGGCGCCGAAGGUAAAACCGGUGAUCGGGACUAAGUCGGAACAAGGUA
rnacentral:rRNA from 1 species